CCCUUAGAUGUUCUGGGCUGCACGCGCGCUACACUGAAGGAAUCAGCGUGCUAAAACCAUUGUCGAAAGGCAUUGGUAAACCCAUUAAAAUCCUACGUGAUUGGGAUCGGGAAUUGCAAUUAUUUCCCUUGAACGAGGAAUUCCCAGUAAGUGUGGGUCAUAAGCUCGCGUUGAUUACGUCCCUGCCCUUUGUACACACCGCCCGUCGCUGCCCGGGACUGAGCCGUUUCGAGAAAAGCGGGGACUGCUGCUGUCGGGGCUUUCGGGCCUUGGCUUCGGUGGAAACCGCUUUAAUCGCAGUGGCUUGAACCGGGCAAAAGUCGUAACA
rnacentral:rRNA from 1 species